CUGUCAAAAAUGCAAACUAUGCAGGGGAUAAAAGACUACUACAGAAUCAUAAUGGACCUUUUCUCCCACAGCCCACUGGUUAGAAGGAGUCACACAGUCCCGCCUCGCUAGACGGGAGCCGUUAAAGAAUAUCUACAACAGGCCAUCUGCAAAGCCCAACACACAAUAAAAAAAGGUAGUAGAUAUGAAAAAGGCAGUGACUGUGGCUCGAAGCUGAAAGAAAAAUUCACACAGAUGCAUAAUGAUCCAGAUGUUGGAAUUAAAAGCCUUUAUAAUAACUGCCAUAAAUAUGUUAAAGAAUUUAGAAGAAACAGAUUUAAGCAUGAACAUAUGGGGAAUUAAGGCAGAGGAACAAAAAAAAAUCUAACAGAAUACAAGUUCUAGAACUGAAUAACAGUAUCCGAAAUGGAGCAGAUUGGACACAGCAAAAUAAAGAAUCAAUAAACACCAAUACAAGUCAACAGAAAUGGUCCAAACUGAAGCAGAGAGAGGAAAGAAUAUUUAAAACACAAAAGCCGAAUGAGACAUAUUGGAAAAUAGCAAAUAGUCCAGCAUACAUGUAAUUGGAGUAACACAAAAAGGCACAGAGAAAAGUGACAAGAGAAAUGUUUGAAUGCAUGACAUCUUUCAAAGGCUAAAAAAAUACAAUAAAAUAAAUAAUAACCCAGAA